CCAACUACUCCCACUACAGCAGCAUGCCAAAGAGAGUAAUUUUAAACAAAAUGUAAGCUUGUCUCUUUAAUCACAUUUUAAAAAGAAAAUAUUUUUCUUUUCUACAUUAUAGGUAAUUUUAUCACCGCAUAUAUAAAUUGAUAAAACUUUGAAAAUAUACUUAUCAACUCUAUAUAACCAAAUUAAUUAUUUAUACUCGCAGCAUUUCCUACUAUAUCCAAUCAAAUAAGAUGUAUAUAUCUAGUAGUAUAUGCUGCAUUUCAAACUGUAUGUAUUUUUAACCAUACUGUAUUUCUAAUUACAUCAAACCAAAAGGUCUCUAAAUGCAUUGCUUUUUUUCACACACAGAACUAGUAAGAUUCUACACAUCACGAUUUUUUUUUAUAAUUAACGAAUGUUUUUGGCUUCUUUGAGUUUUGGAGAACAAAUUAAUUAAUCAUCUGUUGAUAUCAUUUAAAUUUACAUAAUUUUAUUUCUCAUUACAUAU
rnacentral:lncRNA from 1 species